GGGGAAAUGAGCACCAUCAUUCUGUUGAAACAUUCUGUAAAAUGAAGAUCAAGUCUUUUAAAUUUGCCAGAAUUUGUCAGAUCCAGUGAGGAUUCAGGAUUGCUAAGGUUCUAGGUGUCCUGUCCUCUUUUGAUUUCCCUCUGAAGGGCACUGAGGCAGACUGGCCUUUUUGGGUGACAACUCAAAAAAGCUGGGUAAGCUGAAGCACACACUGCACA